CGCAUGAAUACGGGUGAAGGUACGACAAGCGUGAAACACAGAUCACGCUUUUACCGUUCCCACUACUGCAUAGCAAGUCCCUGACUCAGUGAGGAACUAUGGAAACCUAUACGACCCAGCGGAUUUCCAGUCACACCUGUGUAUCUUUAUCUACGACAACUCACGAGGGUUUGUGAUGUUGUCCAUUGCCAACUUGUUGUGAAGUUGGGAGUUUUGGCCGCGUGGAAUGACUCUAGCUGCUGUAUUAUGUUAUAUACAUGAGCUUAUUGUUAUGUAUCGGUGAUGUAUGGAGAGUCGCACGUGACAUAUGUGUAUAUUGACACAUCGUAUUCAUACCUGGCCUUGGCAUCGACAUAGCCAGUUUCUGGAUACUGCUGAAGCUGUGUGACUGUACAGCUGAAUCUACAUGCUGUCAGGAACAUGGUUGUACUGUCUUGUGGUCGACUUGUGUUGAUGAGGAGAGACUGUGUUCGAACUUCGUUGUUUCGUUACGGUGAUCCAGUGUGGGAACGAAGAUUCGCCAAGCUACAGACUGUAUUAGUUCUGAUCGUGUUUGUUGUAGUGUAGUAGGAUAUUAUAAUAUAUUGUAAGGAUAAUAUCAUAUAUUAUAUGCUACUGUGUUGUUGGUAUGGUGCGAGAGUACUGUGUGUUUGCGAGUUGUGUGUGGUUAUAGGAUUGUGUAAAUAAAUAAACGUAUAUAAGUGUU